rnacentral:tRNA from 1 species
GGGUAUAUAGCUCAGUAGUAGAGUGCGUGCGUAGUACACACAAGGUCCUGGGUUCAACCCCCAGUACCUCCA